UACAGAGGUGCCAAGCGUUAGGCGGAAUCACUGGGCUUAAAGCGCGUGUAGGUGGGUCGUUAAGUGUCCGCGUGAAAUCCCACGGCUCAACCGUGGAACCGCCGGGCAUACUGGCGAUCUUGAGGCAUUCAGGGGCGAGCGGAACAAAUGGUGGAGCGGUGAAAUGCGUAGAUAUCAUUUGGAACGCCAAUGGUGAAAACAGCUCGCUGGGAAUGAUCUGACACUGAGACGCGAAAGCCAGGGGAGCGAACGGG
rnacentral:rRNA from 1 species